rnacentral:lncRNA from 1 species
UCAGGUCAGCAUCGGAAAAGCCUAGGCCAUUGUCAACAGUCAAAUUAGCAACAUAAUGUUCGAAUUGAUCGACGGAUGUUUCUUGAGGCACAUGAGCGGUCUUCAAGAAUUUCAUCAAUGCAUGGACAACAUUGAGAUUUUAGACGGAGUAUGCCCCAAUUGUUCCACUACAUCAAAAUCACUCUUACGGAUGAUUUUCAGCAUCUCUUCCAUUUCCUG